AACGAACGCUGGCGGCAUGCCUAACACAUGCAAGUCGAACGAGACCUUCGGGUCUAUUGGCGCACGGGUGCGUAACGCGUGGGAACCUGCCCUUAGGUUCGGAAUAACUCCCCGAAAGGGGUGCUAAUACCGGAUAAUGUCUUCGGACCAAAGAUUUAUCGCCUUUGGAUGGGCCCGCGUUGGAUUAGCUAGUUGGUAGGGUAAAAGCCUACCAAGGCGACGAUCCAUAGCUGGUCUGAGAGGAUGAUCAGCCACACUGGGACUGAGACACGGCCCAGACUCCUACGGGAGGCAGCAGUGGGGAAUAUUGGACAAUGGGCGAAAGCCUGAUCCAGCAAUGCCGCGUGAGUGAUGAAGGCCUUAGGGUUGUAAAGCUCUUUUACCCGGGAUGAUAAUGACAGUACCGGGAGAAUAAGCUCCGGCUAACUACGCG
rnacentral:rRNA from 1 species